rnacentral:rRNA from 1 species
AACGAACGCUGGCGGCAGGCUUAACACAUGCAAGUCGAGCGCAUCCUUCGGGGUGAGCGGCAGACGGGUGAGUAACGCGUGGGAACAUGCCCAAAGGUACGGAACAACUCCGGGAAACUGGAGCUAAUACCGUAUGUGACCGAGAGGUGAAAGAUUUAUCGCCUUUGGAUUGGCCCGCGUUGGAUUAGCUAGUUGGUGGGGUAAAGGCCUACCAAGGCGACGAUCCAUAGCUGGUCUGAGAGGAUGAUCAGCCACACUGGGACUGAGACACGGCCCAGACUCCUACGGGAGGCAGCAGUGGGGAAUAUUGGACAAUGGGCGCAAGCCUGAUCCAGCCAUGCCGCGUGUGUGAUGAAGGCCUUAGGGUCGUAAAGCACUUUCGCCAGGGACGAUAAUGACGGUACCUGGAUAAGAAGCCCCGGCUAACUUCGUGCCAGCCGCCGCGGUAACAC